ACAUAUUUGCAAUAAACCAGCAGCAUUACACAUCAUUACUAAUCCAAGAUUUAUAACAAACCAACGGCAUUAGAGCACAUCCUGUAAGAGCAUACAUAUUGUCAUGGCUUUUCAUGCCUUCAAUUAAAACACCUACACUUCUUGCCAAGUCACUUACUCCCAGCUAAUGCAAACACAGUUACAAGCAAACCAAAAUGCAUAAAAACACCAAACAGUGGCAUCCUAUCUCUCCAAAUGAUCCGCUUCCUCUGCAUCCUUGCAAGCAUCUUCACGAUAAGCAAAUCCGCAGGAAAAGAAGUCAACUGAGCAUGUACUCCCUCUGUCAACUAUCCGAACUAGAUUUUAUCCAUUGCCCUAGCCAUGUUCAAGAAACACUAAAUUAAGAAUAUUUCUACUCUAAAUACAGGAGGCAUCGGACAGAAAACAAAGGAUGAGCAAUAUCAUAUGAGCAGAAUAAAAAGGAGUUUGGACCAUAGCAUGGUUAACAAUAAAAUAUAGUGCUCUUACAAAAGCAAGAGUGCAACACGUCGCCCUGUUCCCCUUUCAAAUAUCAACACACUAAAAAAGGCAAUAAACACAAACAUGUAAUUUUGGACUACAGCAAAAUCAGUUGCAGAAAGUCAGGAAGAUUAUAUUGUUAAAGUAUUCCAUUUUCAGAUGUUAGAAUAGGAUAUUGCAAAAGCAAAAUAUAUGAAGAUCAAAUACUGAAGCAGCUACAAUGCCCGAAUUGGCCUUUUACAGAAGGUGAGAAGCACACACUAAAACAUUAACAGCCAAGAACAUCAUAUCUUUUCAAACUACCUAAAUGGCACGACAACAACACUUCCUUUUAAAUAGUUUGAGAAGACAUGCAUUUAAUGGCAGCCACAACAGUAUGCAUCUAGAUGCCCCUUUAACAUAACAUAAUUCUAGAUAUAGUGCAUGCACAAGAAGAGUACGCACUAGUACGACCGCUCUGAACGAGCUGCUGAUGAUGAAAAGGAGACCACGGCCAAAGGCUUUAAGAAACAUGGUAAAGGCAAUGACAGACUUGAUCUAUAAAGAAAUAGAACAAAAGCCAUAAAAAAUAGGAACUAGGUGAAUGGAUCCUUAAAAAGGGAACAAUGAUGUACAACGAGGCAACCGACCAGAAAGUAUCCAUACAUCAAUGUGUGGCACUACCAUCCCAAAUUCCCAAUGUUGGCGGAGACCUGCUUGACAAAGAAGUUUCAACAUGAUAAAUGCAUAAUCAUUUUAACAUGGAUUAAAUAUAAUUAGUUCCGUAUAAUAAGACAGAAAAUAUAUUUUGUUUUUUAUAUCUAAGCAUAAACUGAUAUGCCCAGUUAUCAUGGAUUGAUGCCUCAAAGAACUGUUGCAUUGUCACAUAUAGAAUGCAAACAAUAAAUAUAAGCAUAAACACGUAAAUUUGGACUGUAGCAAUCAGUAGCACAAACUCAACAGACAUGAGCCUAUCAAGUGGUUAAACAAUAAGAAUAGCAUGUCACCACAUUUGGAAUCUUUCAACAAGGUUGUUGUUAAAGCUUUCCACUGUCAGAUGCUACAACAGGAUAUUGCAGAAGCAAAAUGUAUGAAAAUCAAACAUCGAAGUAGCAACAAUGCCAGAUUUGGCAUUUUACAGCCAGUAAAAUGGACACACUAAAAUUGUUAAAACUACCUAAAUGUCAUGGCAACAAUACUUCCUUUUUAUUAGUUUGAGAAGACAUGGUGCUGCAAGUCUACAUUUAAUGGCAGCCACAAUAGUAUGCAUCUUGAUAACCCCUUAACAUGAAAUAAUUCUUGAUACAGUGCAUUCAGAAGAAGAGUACACACCAGUACGAACGCUCCGAACGAGCUGCUGAUGAUGAAAAGGAGACCACCAAAGGCUUUAAGAAACACGGUAAAGGCAAUGAAACACUUGAUCUGUAAACAAAGAGAACAAAAGCCAUCAAAACUAGGAACUAGGUGAAUGGAUCCUUAAACAAAAAACAAUGAUGUAGAACGGGGC
rnacentral:lncRNA from 1 species